rnacentral:miRNA from 1 species
UCACUAUUUAGGUCGUUGGGU